rnacentral:rRNA from 1 species
GAGUUUGAUCAUGGCUCAGAGCGAACGUUAGCGGCGGGCCUAACACAUGCAAGUCGAGCGAGAAAGGGGCUUCGGCCCUGAGUAAAGCGGCGGACGGGUGAGUAACACGUAGGUAAUCUUCCCUUGAGCGGGGGACAACGAGCCGAAAGGCUCGCUAAUACCGCAUACGUUUCCAGAGGCCCCGGUCUUUGGAAGGAAAGCUAGGCCGCAAGGUCCGGCACUCGAGGAGGAGCCUGCGUCGCAUCAGCUAGUUGGUGGGGUAACGGCCCACCAAGGCGAAGACGCGUAGCUGGUCUGAGAGGAUGAUCAGCCACACUGGGACUGAGACACGGCCCAGACUCCUACGGGAGGCAGCAGUGGGGAAUAUUGGAUAAUGGGCGCAAGCCUGAUCCAGCCACGCCGCGUGAGUGAUGAAGGCCUUCGGUC